GAUGAACGCUGGCGGCGUGCCUAAUACAUGCAAGUCGAGCGAACAGACGAGGAGCUUGCUCCUCUGACGUUAGCGGCGGACGGGUGAGUAACACGUGGAUAACCUACCUAUAAGACUGGGAUAACUUCGGGAAACCGGAGCUAAUACCGGAUAAUAUAUUGAACCGCAUGGUUCAAUAGUGAAAGACGGUUUUGCUGUCACUAAUUGAUGGAUCCGCGCCGCAUUAGCUAGUUGGUAAGGUAACGGCUUACCAAGGCAACGAUGCGUAGCCGACCUGAGAGGGUGAUCGGCCACACUGGAACUGAGACACGGUCCAGACUCCUACGGGAGGCAGCAGUAGGGAAUCUUCCGCAAUGGGCGAAAGCUUGACGGAGCAACGCCGCGUGAGUGAUGAAGGUCUUCGGAUCGUAAAACUCUGUUAUUAGGGAAGAACAAAUGUGUAAGUAACUAUGCACGUCUUGACGGUACCUAAUCAGAAAGCCACGGCUAACUACGUG
rnacentral:rRNA from 1 species